CCUCCCCCAAACCCUUCCCUGCCUCAACUCACCUCCAUGGAUGACAGUCUAGGCAAUGCGUCGUGCCCAUGCGCGUCAGCGGCGGAAGCUGCGCGGCAUCUCAUCGUUCUUGUCCUUGAGCUUCACCGUCUUGCACAUGGUGGUCCUCGCCAGCGUGCCUAGCAUCAGGGCUGAAGGGCUGAUCGCGCCACCGUACUUCUGGUUGACGAUCUGCGCCGCUGUCGCGAAGAAGAUGAGGAUGAAGGUGCCCACGAAAUUGGCGCCCAGCUGUGCAACCACCACACGCAACAUGUUGCAUGUCCAUCAUCAGCUACAGGAACUACAUUGUUUACAAUUCAAUUUCAAUUUUCUGCGUUCAAAGCAAC
rnacentral:misc_RNA from 1 species